UUUUUUUCCCCGGGGGGAGAAGUGCAAAGAACUUUGAAGAGAGAGUUCAAGAGUACGUGAAACCGCUCGGAGGCAAACGGGUGGGCCCUCGAAGGUCGAACGGGGGGAUUCAACCCGUCCGCAGGCAUGGUUGCGCGUCACGGAUGGCGAGGCAUCGGGGGUUUUCUCCCCGUGUCUUGCCUUACAGAUCCGAACGUCGGACUGGUCCGUGGCACCAAAGUUAUAUCUUUGCGGCGACCGCGGGCGGGCGCACUUCCCCCUCAGUAGGACGCCGCGACCGGUCGGGUAUCGAAAGAAAAAGCGGCUUUGCAGCGGGACGACGGCAGGUAUCCGUCGCCGGUCACCUUUCUCUCGUCCUUUGUGGCGGGGGAAAAGCCGGUCGGAAUUACAGCUGGUCUCCGCUUCGGUUGCUGCCCGACCGAGGAACUACGUGCCCGCGCUGUCAUGUGACUUCGGUUGCGUGAGACGCGCGGUUCGCCCACCUGGCAGGCUGGGCCACCGGGUACCGGACGCCCCUAGUUUGGCGGUCGGCUAUCUCGUUGUGGCUCGCUGGUGGUCGGGCGUAGCUGCUCUCGUGGUGGCGCUCGUGGUCAGCGGCGAGUAGGUCGGUCGCCCACCCGACCCGUCUUGAAACACGGACCAAGGAGUCUAACAUGUGCGCGAGUCGCAGGGUUGACUCGCAAGUUGAAACCCGAUGGCGAAAUGAAAGUGAAAGUCGGUGCGUCUGACCGACUGAGGCGGGAUCCGUCCGGGUAUCGCUGCAGCUCUCGAGGGGGCUGCGGGAGCCCGGCGGCGCACACGGGCCCGCUCCCGUUAAA
rnacentral:rRNA from 1 species